UACGGAGGGUGCAAGCGUUAAUCGGAAUUACUGGGCGUAAAGCGUGCGCAGGCGGUUUGUUAAGUCCGCUGUGAAAUCCCCGAGCUCAACUUGGGAAUUGCAGUGGAUACUGGCAAGCUGGAGUAUGGUAGAGGAAGGUGGAAUUCCCGGUGUAGCAGUGAAAUGCGUAGAGAUCAGGAGGAACACCAGUGGCGAAGGCGGCCUUCUGGACCAAUACUGACGCUCAUGCACGAAAGCGUGGGGAGCAAACAGG
rnacentral:rRNA from 1 species